AGCGAACGCUGGCGGCAGGCUUAACACAUGCAAGUCGAGCGGGCACUUUCGGGUGUCAGCGGCGGACGGGUGAGUAACGCGUGGGAACGUGCCCUCUGGUUCGGAAUAACUCAGGGAAACUUGAGCUAAUACCGGAUACGCCCUUUUGGGGAAAGGCUUGCUGCCGGAGGAUCGGCCCGCGUCUGAUUAGCUAGUUGGUGAGGUAACGGCUCACCAAGGCGACGAUCAGUAGCUGGUCUGAGAGGAGGAUCAGCCACACUGGGACUGAGACACGGCCCAGACUCCUACGGGAGGCAGCAGUGGGGAAUAUUGGACAAUGGGCGCAAGCCUGAUCCAGCCAUGCCGCGUGAGUGAUGAAGGCCUUAGGGUUGUAAAGCUCUUUUAUCCGGGACGAUAAUGACGGUACCGGAGGAAUAAGCCCCGGCUAACUUCGUG
rnacentral:rRNA from 1 species